ensembl:lncRNA
GGUGAAUUGAGUCUUUAUGACAGAAGAGAGGUUCAUUUGAUCAUCAGAAAGGUGGUGAAUUGAGUCUUUAUGACAGAAGAGAGGUUCAUUUGAUCAUCAGAAAGGUGGUGAAUUGAGUCUUUAUGACAGAAGAGAGGUUCAUUUGAUGGUCAGAAAGGUGGUGAAUUGAGUCUUUAUGACAGAAGAGAGGUUCAUUUGAUCAUCAGAAAGGUGGUGAAUUGAGUCUUUAUGACAGAAGAGAGGUUCAUUUGAUCAUCAGAAAGGUGGUGAAUUGAGUCUUUAUGACAGAAGAGAGGUUCAUUUGAUCAUCAGAAAGGUGGUGAAUUGAGUCUUUAUGACAGAAGAGAGGUUCAUUUGAUCAUCAGAAAGGUGGUGAAUUGAGAUGAAAUAGCAGAAUGGGUGUUUUUUAUGAUGAGCUGCUGUUAGACAUAGUACUCCAAUACACCUGUCUGUAUCCAGCUGUUAACCAAUCAUAAACAUGUCUUUAAUAGGCCAAGUAAUGUUAUCUACCUUCUCUAAUAAUGUAUGACAGCGUGUAAACCAAUGCAGUAGUGUAGAGCUGUCCCUCUAACCUGUACAGUCUGUAUGAGGAAUGUCUCUAGAACCUUAUCAGUGGUCCUGGUCUUUGUAUUCAUGAUUACAUAUUGCUGUGUCACCAUGCCCAAAGGCUUAGUCAAACCAGACAGGCUGCACCAUCCUACACUCUUAUGGGUACAUACUACUGUACAUUCUCUAUCCGUCUGCCUGACUGAAAUGUUCACAUACAUAGUCCGUCUGUUGUUUUAGCCAAUAACUUGGCAGAACACUGAGGGGUUCAGUCAGCCAACCAAUGACUGAAGAAUGCAGGAUGCUGUCCUUGCUGGAAUGUUGUAGUAUAUGUCAUCAUAAGUUCAUGGGCAGAGUUUCUGUGUUCACUAUAGUUCUCAGUGAGAACGCCAUUUUAACCUUACAGGACACAGCAAGACUCCUCUUCGUCAUGUUCUUCUUCAUCCUCCUCCACUGCACCAUAUUGGUGACCUGCUGCUGGGCCCACAGACAGAACUACAGUUAUAUCUCUGACUCUGAGCCCCACCUGUGGGCUUAAGAGAGAGGAGAUGGACUUCUAACAACAACCUGGACCUCCAUGUUGCUUUGGGGCGGACUGACUCUGAGGCGUUGUGAGAGACAAUGGACAAUAAGCCCUCUAUGGCGUCCAUGUUGCUUUGGGGCGGACUGAGUGUGUGGGAAAAGUAUGCUAAUAUGGGCUUAUGCAGUCAGACAGGAACCUGUAGUUACCUAGAGACUGAGCUAGUCUAGGAACAGGAGAACGUGUUAAUGAAGUCUUGGGAGGGAGGGAUCAGGGUUAUUAUUAUUAUUAAGCCUUAAUAAAUCCACAGUAAUGAUGAUCAACCCAGUUCAUCCCUCUACUAGGCAUGUCAUCAUGUAACGCAUUCCUUCUAUACAGCAGGGGAAACAAACCCAGUCCUCCAGGGCCACUGGAAUGAUGCUCUCACUGUUGUACUCUACAGCAUACAGCUUCUGGUUAGAAAGAUGUAGGGUGAAACUAGGUGAGACAGCUGUUGUACUCUACAGCAUACAGCUUCUGGUUAGAAAGAUGUAGGGUGAAACUAGGUGAGACAGCUGUUGUACUCUACAGCAUACAGCUUCUGGUUAGAAAGAUAUAGGGUGAAACUAGGUGAGACAGCUGUUGUACUCUACAGCAUAUAGCUUCUGGUUAGAAAGAUUAUAGGGUGAAACCAGCACAACCAGUCUCUGCUGGACCUGUCUCUCCCUGCUGUAGAAGGCUCAAACCACCUGUAAGUCAGUGCAACUCAAUAUCACACUCAAUUUGUGCAAAUAUAUACAAAAAGUAUUUCAGCAGAUUUAGUGUAUUUUUAUGUGGCUUAAUUUGUGUGAAAAUACAAAAAAAAUGCUCUUAGGUGUGCCCCCCAAAAAUGUAUUUUCCUAUGAAUGAAGUUGCACAAAAAUGUGUCUUUUCACACGAAUUAAGACACACAAAAACACACAAAAUCUGCUUAAAUAGUUUUUGUACAUAUUUGCACGAGUUGAGUGUGAGAUUGUGUUGCAACGUGUUAUAAAGUGCUUGAAUUGUGCCAGAACGCAGAAGUACAGAGUAUCGCACCUCAAAUGUAUUACUGUUUUGAGUUUUGGCACCUCUUACAGAGUUUUACUUUAAAAUAUUGUGGCGUUCUGCCAGUGGCACAUAAUUAUAAACAGUAGGGGCGCCCAAAAUAAGUACUGUCACCUAUUUCAGUCCACUUCAAGCACUGGUGUCAUAGAUAG